ACGGAAGGCAGCAGUGGGGAAUAUUGCACAAUGGGCGCAAGCCUGAUGCGGCGAUGCCGCGUGAGGGAAGUAGGUUUUCGGAUUGUAAACCUCUGUCAACAGGGACGAAAAUGACGGUACCUGUGAAGAAAGCUCCGGCUAACUACGUGCCAGCAGCCGCGGUAAUACGUAGGGAGCAAGCGUUAUCCGGAAUUACUGGGUGUAAAGGGAGUGUAGGCGGGACUGUAAGUCAGAUGUGAAAUAUGCCGGCUCAACUGGCAGACUGCAUUUGAAACUGCGGUUCUUGAGUGAAGUAGAGGUAAGCGGAAUCCCUAGUGUAGCGGUGAAAUGCGUAGAUAUUAGGAGGAACAUCAGUGGCGAAGGCGGCUUACUGGGCUUUAACUGACGUUGAGGCUCGAAAGCGUGGGGAGCAAACAGGAUUAGAUACCCUGGUA
rnacentral:rRNA from 1 species